UACGUAGGUGGCAAGCGUUGUCCGGAUUUACUGGGCGUAAAGAGCGCGCAGGCGGUCGUUCAAGUCGCGUGUGAAAGCCCCCGGCUCAACUGGGGAGGGUCACGCGAUACUGAUCGACUCGAAGGCAGGAGAGGGAAGUGGAAUUCCCGGUGUAGUGGUGAAAUGCGUAGAUAUCUGGAGGAACACCGGUGGCGAAGGCGGCAUCCUGGGCCAUGACUGACGCUGAGGAGCGAAAGCCAGGGGAGCAAACGGG
rnacentral:rRNA from 1 species